UACGGAGGGUGCGAGCGUUAAUCGGAAUUACUGGGCGUAAAGGGCGCGUAGGUUGUUGUACAAGUUAACUGUGAAAUACCCGGGCUUAACCUGGGGGGGUCAGUUAAGACUGUAUGACUAGAGUACUGUAGAGGAUAGUGGAAUUUCCGGUGUAGCGGUGAAAUGCGUAGAUAUCGGAAGGAACACCAGUGGCGAAGGCGACUAUCUGGGCAGAUACUGACACUGAGGCGCGAAAGCGUGGGUAGCAAACAGG
rnacentral:rRNA from 1 species